UACGGAGGGUGCGAGCGUUAAUCGGAAUUACUGGGCGUAAAGGGCGCGUAGGCGGCCGAUCAAGUCAGAUGUGAAAGCCCACGGCUUAACCGUGUGAAGUGCAUCUGAAACUGGUCGGCUUGAGUAUCGGAGAGGAAAGUGGAAUUCCCGGUGUAGAGGUGAAAUUCGUAGAUAUCGGGAGGAAUACCGGUGGCGAAGGCGACUUUCUGGACGAAUACUGACGCUGAGGCGCGAAAGCGUGGGGAGCAAACAGGAUUAGAAA
rnacentral:rRNA from 1 species